rnacentral:rRNA from 1 species
CUAGUACGAGAGGACCGGAGUGAACGAACCUCUGGUGUUCGGGUUGUCACGCCAGUGGCACUGCCCGGUAGCUAAGUUCGGAAUCGAUAACCGCUGAAAGCAUCUAAGCGGGAAGCGAGCCCUGAGAUGAGUCAUCCCUGACCCCUUGAGGGUCCUAAAGGGCCGUUGGAGACCACAACGUUGAUAGGUGGGGUGUGUAAGUGCAGCGAUGCAUUGAGCUAACCCAUACUAAUUACCCGUGAGGCUUAACCAUACAACACCCAAGAAGUGUUCU